ACCACCCCCCCUCCAUCGCGUUGCCGCUGCCACACAAUGGCAUACAAGCGAUGAAAACAGAUCCGGUGUUGUGAUGUUAAAUGUGUGGAAUGUAAUAGUAAGAGCACGCCAGUCCAUGUUACUAUCGAAGUCCAUGUGAACGAGCGGCGUUAAAACGGGUCUUUUUUCAACGGAGUUCGGCGCGGAGCUGUGUGCGUGUGUGUGGUUACGACGGAGCAGCAUUACAUCACUUCCAGCAAACUUCACCGACAACAAACGACGGCGAUUUUUGCCCACUUUGAGCCAACAUCCUCUCACAGAUGUAUCGAUUUAGUGCGGAGGUGAGCGCCGACUGGCAGCCCAGCAAGCUAACGUCAUGAAGGAGUUGUAACGGUCGCCGCGUUCAAACGUCCUACACGCAGCGGCCGCGGCUUGGCCGGGUCCUUCCGGCCGGUGGAGGCGGCUCACCUGAGGCAGCAGUCCGGAGGGAGAGCCGGGAAGCUCGGCCGGCAGCACCGGGGAGGAGAAGGCAGCAAACAGGCAAUCAUGGCGCCACGACGCCGACAUAGGAAAAGGAGCUCGAGUUUUCCAAGUGUAAUCCUGAGUGUGGCACCAGCAAAGCAGUGAGGGUUCAGAGGUCACAGCAUGAGGACAAGGGUGAUUAGAGGGCCACUGAAGCGUGAACAUGGACGCCGCUUGAAAAGAGGAACAUGCCAAAUGAAGAAAUACGAGGUUAUUGUCCAUGACGUCCUUUGUUAGCCCGCUCAUAAACAAUCAAUGCUGUCAUGUGGAAUAUAUUUGGCCCCCCAACCCCCAUUAAAAAAUACCACAUACCAGAGUUUCAUCAAACUUAGCGGAGUUCCACAGGGCGCCCUUUGAGACGGUUCCUGUCCCUCUCGGCCCUGUCAGCUGUGUUAUGUCAAAAGAGUUCAGCCAAGUGAGAACAUUCAGCUAAAAGACAAAAGGCCAUAAUGGGAGGUGGCGCAGCGUCCUGCUUGUUACGCUCACAUUCCUAAAGGAAAAUUCAUGACGGUUGUCAACAUGGAACUUCUUUAUCCUGAAGCCAUACAUGCCAGCUUUCUUUUGAUCGGUGACUGACGUGAAUGACUACUUUGUUUUUUUUUUCCAUUCUACACUAAUGUUCACACUGUCAUCUAAAUGUAUGAUAUUUCAAUUUUAACUGCUUCACCCUUUGAUAGACUCACAUUCUUCCUACAUUGAGAUGACAAUGAUGAGUCAAGGAAGAAUGUUGUUAUUAUUAUAAUUAUUAAUAACUACACUGCAAUACAAAAUGUAAAUAAAGCUCAAAGCUAAAUAUAUGCAGAAAUGAUAUAUAUAUAAAAUAUAGAGAAAAAUUUACAUAUGCUCUAAAUAUCCAUCGGUGUACACUGUGUAUACGCUGAUGCGUGCACGUGUGUCUCAUAUGACUGCAAGAGCAAACAUUACAGGUGUGAGGAUGAUGUCAUGCAGGAAGUGCACCACUCAAAUGAGGGUGACUACACACUCAAUUUACAUCCAACAGAUACAAGUGUGUGUGCGUGUGUGUGUGUACGCGCACGUGUGUGUGCUGGUUGCAGUUAAAUCUGAUCAGUUUUUCAACAAGUCUAAACUACAUCAUACACACAGUAUAUACUGUAUAUACACAGAGCAUAUUUACAUACAGUAUCAUACAU